rnacentral:rRNA from 2 species
UCGGGGAUAUUGCACAAUGGAGGAAACUCUGAUGCAGCAACGCCGCGUGAGGGAAGAAGGUUUUCGGAUUGUAAACCUCUGUCCUCGGUGAAGAUAAUGACGGUAGCCGAGGAGGAAGCCACGGCUAACUACGUGCCAGCAGCCGCGGUAAUACGUAGGUGGCAAGCGUUGUCCGGAAUGACUGGGUGUAAAGGGUGCGUAGGCGGCUAUGCAAGUCAGGCGUGAAAUAUAUGGGCUUAACCCGUAGACUGCGUUUGCAACUGUGUAGCUUGAGUGAGGUAGAGGCAGGCGGAAUUCCCGGUGUAGCGGUGAAAUGCGUAGAGAUCGGGAGGAACACCAGUGGCGAAGGCGGCCUGCUGGGCCUUAACUGACGCUGAAGCACGAAAGCAUGGGUAGCAAACAGG